rnacentral:rRNA from 1 species
AGAGUUUGAUCAUGGCUCAGGAUUAACGCUGGCGGUAUGCUAACACAUGCAAGUCGAACGGAAUACUAAUUAAGAGAAUCUCACACUAGUGAGAGGUUCUCACGAGUAGUAUUUAGUGGCGGACGGGUGAGUAACACGUUGGAACCUGCCCCGAAGUGGGGAAUAACUGCUCGAAAGAGUAGCUAAUACCCCAUAGUAUCCGGUUUAUCCGGAUUAAAGAUUUAUCGCUUCGGGAGGGGCCUGCGUCUGAUUAGCUAGUUGGUGAGGUAAAAGCUCACCAAGGCGACGAUCAGUAGCUGGUUCGAGAGGAUGACCAGCCACACUGGGACUGAGAUACGGCCCAGACUCCUACGGGAGGCAGCAGUGAGGAAUCUUCCACAAUGGGCGCAAGCCUGAUGGAGCAAUACCGCGUGCAGGAAGACGCUUUUCGGAGUGUAAACUGCUUUUGUCGUCGAAGAUUAUGACUGUAGACGAAGAAUAAGGACCGGCUAACUACGUG